UCGGGAAUUUUGGGCAAUGGGCGAAAGCCUGACCCAGCAACGCCGCGUGAGGGAUGAAGUAUUUCGGUAUGUAAACCUCGAAAGAAUGGGAAGAAUAAAUGACGGUACCAUUUAUAAGCUCCGGCUAACUACGUGCCAGCAGCCGCGGUAAUACGUAGGGAGCAAGCGUUGUUCGGAUUUACUGGGCGUAAAGGGCGCGUAGGCGGCGCGGUAAGUCACUUGUGAAAUCUCUGAGCUUAACUCAGAACGGCCAAGUGAUACUGCUGGGCUGGAGUGCGGAAGAGGCAACCGGAAUUCUUGGUGUAGCGGUGAAAUGCGUAGAUAUCAAGAGGAACACCUGAGGCGAAGGCGGGUUGCUGGGCCGACACUGACGCUGAUGCGCGAAAGCCAGGGGAGCAAACG
rnacentral:rRNA from 1 species